GUGGUCCCUAGAGCUCAGAAAAUGGAGGUCAACUAAAGGCAAUCUUUAAUCUAACAUAUAUCACUUUCAAGCUACUUGUAACCCCUAUGGAAAUGUUUGAGGCAUGGCUUCGGAUCAUUUCUAGGCUUUGGAUGUAUUCUUUUAUGUGAUGUCUGAGGUUUGUGCCUGACUAUCAGAUGCUGACAAGACACAGUGAAUUUUCGCUCAAACACUGAUUUGAUGGACUGCAGCCCAGAUGACCCCUGCUAACUUAUAGCCACACAGAAACUCUCAAGACACGAUUUUCAUUAUAACCAGCAGAACACUUGGCUGUGCUUGUUAAACCACAGUAAAUAUUUUUUUACAAUCCUG